AUUCUCAGGGCGGGGUGUAAUUCCCCACCGGUGGUUAUAGCCCACGAGCGCUUAAUCGUUUAUUUUGUUGGUUUAGUGCGGUAUGUUUCCGACUAAACACUCAAUAUCUUUAAUCGAUUAAGGUCUAGCAGAUUUGGUGUGAUUCCAAAGCCGACAGUUAAAGUCUGGAUGAAAGAGAGU
rnacentral:ncRNA from 1 species